rnacentral:tRNA from 1 species
GCCUGGGUGGCUUAGUGGGUUAAGCAUCUGACUUCAGCUCAGGUCAUGAUCUCGCGGUUCGUGGGUUCAAGCCCCGCAUCAGGCC